ACAGAACACAGACAAUGGUAACAUUUUCAAACCAAGCGGUACGGAUCUUCCACUUGCCGAUGGCUUCCUCAGCAAUCCUCUGUCUCUGUUGGCCGUGUCCUUUGUAACAACAAACCAAUUUCAAAUUUCAUUGUUAUAAACAAAGCAAUCUCCAUCUCUACAAUUCUGGCUACAGUUUUGUCUAAUAUCGGUUUGCAGAUAUGGAUGGAGACAAUGAUAAACUGAUAAGGAACAAGUUUGCAGUGUGCAGGUCAAAUGUUUGAUGAAAUGCUCGAACAAGUUUUCAGCAACAUGAUGUGACAGCUAAUUAAACUUUCGAAGGUAAUUUAAUAAUCAUCGAGGGAGAGUUGGGCUCAUACAUGUGUAAACUGUAAGUGUUUAGUUUGUUGCAUUCUAUUUGGUUGAGUAAUGUAGGUCGUUACCCGCCUCUGCUUAGUCUUAUGUUUGUUCUCUCUUUUAGCAUGCUCUAUAUAAUGGUAUAAGGUUCUUGCUUUCUACAUUAAAAAGUAUAAAUGUUUUGUAGUAUAAAUAUAAGAAUCAUAUCGAAAUUAAAAUCUAUUUGGGUCGUAAAUGGCCAAAAAUAACUUGAUUGAUAGAUGUUUGUUGGUUGAUCAUGACGAGGUGAAUGCUUCAGCAUACUAAUGACUUGGAAAAGAGUAGUGAUUAGGAUACUUUACGGUGGUGCUAAAAGAGGGAUAUGAUGUAAUCAAGAGGAGGUGAGUAUUUUUGAGCUAGAAUGAAUUAGCAUAGUUUUUAUGCAGUAGAUACAUGAUCUGAUUGGUGACAGAUGUUCCUGCACCUGAUAUGAGAACAAUUUCAUAUCCCUACAAUAUAGUUUUAGCUAAUUGUGUAUAUAAUCUUUUAUAUAAUGCAGUGAAAAAUAAUUUGUAAGGAGUUAAUAUUGUUCAAGGUUUAUUAUUAUUGAAAUUUAUGUUCUUUAAUUUCUUUGUGGCCAAACAGACAAUGGUGAGGAUACUACAGGGAUACUUGAAGUUUCAUGGCUACUAACCAGCAGUAGUAACCGAAAAAAACCAGCAGGCAUACAAGGAUUCCGGUUUGUCAUGAUUCAUAUUUUAGCAAUUUUGUUAUUAUUGAAAUUUAUGUUAUUUAUUUUCUUUGUGGCCAAACAGACAAUGUGAGGAUACUACAGGAAUACUUGAAGUUUCAUGGCUACUAACCAGCAAUAAUAACCGGAAAAAACCAACAGGAAUUUGCUGCUAUCAUUAGAUUUUAGAUUUGUUGCUAUCAGUAGUCUCCAAUCAAAUGCUUCUGAUUUCGAAACUAGACAUGAAAACACAAUAAACUCAGGUAUCAUCUCAUAUUUCAUUCUACUAUUCAAUUUACAGUAAAAAUUUAAUGUGAAUUUUUCGUCUUAAACCUACACUUAUCAGUUCAAAAGUGAAGAGGCAGAGGUCUAGGCAUAAUUAACUUUUGGAAGUUAAUUAUGCCUAGACCAGGUGUCAACAAUAUGAUAAAUUCCCAAGAACCUCUCCUUGCUCCUCGCAAAGCGCCAUUAGUUGGUAAUUUUUUUAAGGUUGGUAUGAAGGAUCAUGUACAUUGCCAAAUUUCACAAUGUUUAUAUCAUCUGCAGCUCUAGAUGCAUAGGUAGAGGUCAAGUGUUGAAAAACUGUUGGCACUGAGAUUUGGCGAUGAAACUGACAACACAACCAAAAAUAUUACAGGAACAGAAGAAGGUGUCAUUUACCUCUACGCAGUAUCAUACUCAAAUUAUACCAUAUAACUAAGAAUUUUUUUCUCUUCUCCUUCAUUUGCAGCUUAUGUGACUUAUCCGUAUACUAAUGGUGGAACUCACGUGUCUCCGAACACUUCCGGUUAGUAGUCCAUCAUUCUUUUAUCUUAUAUGAUCCGAUACUAAUUUCAAUCUUCAUGUUCACUUAAGAGUGUAGGACUCCAAGUAGCACUCUAACGUUCCGGAGAUCAAUGAUGAGGAAAAGCAAUUCUCUUCGCAAAGCAUGAAGAUUUAUGCACCUCAUAACAUGUUUGAAUCUCCAGGUUCUCCUUUCACCUCAACCUGGUGUUUUGACACGACUACAUGAAUCAGAAAUCCUUAAGAGUGUAGGACUCCAAGUAGCACUCUAACGUUCCGGGGAUCAAUGAUGAGGAGAAGCAAUUCUCUUCGCAAAGCAUGAAGAUUUAUGCACCUCACAACAUGUCUGAAUCUCCAGGUUCUCCUUUAACCUCAACCUGGUGUUUUGACACGACUACACGAAUCAGGUAUUAAAAGCAUCAACAUUCCAUGUGUACGCAAUAGACAGAAGCACAUUCCGUUGUCAACAGCCAUUUUCUUCUUCAAGUUUUAUGGUUCAUAAUCAUCACUCUGGUAUGCAGGUCAUUCUUAUUUUGAAAUUGGUCACCUAAAACCCAGUUUGUAAUAGAUAUGAUACUUUAGUAAUUAAGUAUGCACCAUGGUAUAUUCUCGAUAAAAGUUAGCUUAAAUACAAGAUAAAUUCACUGAUACCAGAAGUUCGCUCUGUUCUCAGCAGGAAAAUUGAACAUGGCUUCUGCAUUGUUCCGGGGUAUCGCAGCAUUGGCUGGGAGUUUAAUUGGCUAGGGGUAUUACCUUCUUCAUUUUACAAGGAUAUUUCAGUGUUCUAUUGUUUUCUUCUUCGACUUUGGAGAAGACAUCAGUACUACUUGGAAAACAUCAGCACAAUCAAAUUGUUAUUGUUUGUUGUUGAUCAUCAUUUACGGAUGUUGUAUUUCAUUGAACAUAGAAUUGUGUUUUUAUUUUCAAGGUGUGGUCAGUACUCCAUACUGUCGGGCAUCCGACUUCAGGCCUGGAUAGACUACUGACCUAUUUCUAAUUCUUGAAUCUUAUUGUCGUCCACAGGUAGCUAUAUUCUGAGUAAUUCGGUCAACAGGAUUUCAUUCUGCAGGCAGAUGCACAAGUAGACAACGUUUGUUCUGGACAAAGUCACAUGUAUUCUGUAGUACUUUACUUUGACCACAUCAGGUUUUGAUCACACAAGGUCCUCAUCCUGAUCAAGGGUUCAGAGGGAAAGAGGUGCAGAUGAAAGGCAAAAAUACUUUUGCAGCUCCAAAGAAUGUCAGGCAACUUGGUUAUACUAGCAACAUCAACACAAAACCUGAUGUGGUCGGGGAAGUUGCAGACGAGCAGCCGAAAUCUAAUGACAAGUUUAGAAAAAUGUUGUUGAGAAAAUGAAAGAAGAGAGAAGUAAUACCAUAAUGAUGGUCAUGUAAUUCCUCUGGGGUCGAGCUAUACAAGAUUUUUUGUAGUAGAUAUUAGUAGUUUGACCUCGGUUCCUAGAUUAGCUUUGCACGAAUACAUUCUGUUACGUGUGUUAAUGUUAUCUGAUUAUAUGGUGCAUCUUACUAAUGUUACAUGAAGGUGAUUGCCUAAUGGAACCAACAAAGACAGAAAAUCUUCUAAUUAUAGAAAUUCAUAUGAAUGAAUGGAUUCUGCUUGGUCUAGAC